GUGUGUGUGUGAGAGAGAGAGAGAGAGAGAGAGAGAGUGUGUGUGUGUGUGAGAGAGAGAGAGAGAGAGAGAGUGUGUGUGUGUGUGAGAGAGAGAGAGAGAGAGAGAGAGAGUGUGUAGAGAGAGAGAGAGAGAGAGAGAGAGAGAGUGUGUGUGAGAGAGAGAGAGAGAGAGAGAGAGAGAGAGAGUGUGUGUGUGAGAGAGAGAGAGAGAGAGAGAGAGAGAGAGUGUGUGUGUGUGUGUGUGUGUGAGAGAGAGAGAGAGAGAGAGAGAGAGAGAGAGAGAGAGAGAGGGAAAAUAAAUACAUCUUUCGAGCAGGAAACCAAGUCCUCCAACACACCCAGGAAUACACAUAUCUGGGAUUAAAACUGAGUUCAACAGGGAACUUUAAUCUGGCUGUGAAUGAACUGAAGGCAAAAGCACUGAGAGUCUUCUACAUGAUUAAAAAUACUAUUCGACAAGAAAUUCCAAUUCAAACCUGGCUAAAAAUCCUAAAAGCAAUAAUUGAACCAAUUGCUCUGUAUGGCAGCGAGAUAUGGGGACCUCUAAAAACCCAAGAUUUCUCUAAAUGGGAAAAAGAGGAAAUCGAAACUCUGCAUACACAAAUUUGUAAAAACAUCCUAAAAGUAAACAGAGCAACGCUAAACAACUCGUGCAGAGCUGAAUUAGGACAAUACCCCUUAUUGAUCAGUAUCCAGAAAAGAGCUGUGAAGUUCUACCAGCACCUGAAGCGCAGCGAGCCGAGCUCAUACCAGGCUGAAGCCCUGCGGUGUCAGGAGCAGAACCGGCACCGGAGCGCACUCUCACAGCUGAUGCUCAAACUACAGCCAGACCAGCACAGCACCAUCUGGACAAACCAAAUUAUACAACUACAAAAACAAAACUACAUCACCUAUUGGAAAGAUGCUACUAAAUCACAAAAGAAGAUGGAACUCUAUUUAAAGCUGAAGAGAGAUUAUAAACCAGCAGAAUACCUGAGCUGUGUGAAAGAGCAUAAAUUGAGAAAGACCCUAAGCAGAUAUAGACUGAGUGAUCACCGUCUGGCUGUAGAGAGAGGACGGCACAGCCGAGAGAGCAGAGACUGUGUUCACUGUGCUCUCAGAGAGAGCUGGAGACAGAAGAACACUUCCUCAUUCACUGUGAUCACUAUCACAGCAUUAGAUCACACUAUUUCACCAGAUUCCAACAACUAGAACCACAUUUUAUGGCAUUACCAAAUUCAGAGAAAUUAAAUCAUAUUUUGGGAGAAAACUCUAUCUCAAUCACAACAGCAGCAAAGUAUGUAACAGCCUGCCACAAACUACGAGAGUCAGCCAGUGGACAAAACUAAAGUCUGAAUGUUGAGACAAAUACACACAAGUGUGUUUUU
ensembl:lncRNA